UAUUUCCAAAAGUCUAAACUGAAACAUAAAUUAUAAUGAGAAGAAAAACAAUAAAGGUUAUUAUUUUUAAAACACUAGAGCUGAAUCUCAGCUACCUAUCUAGAUCUCUUGGCCUGAGCCCUGGACCCAGCUAAAAAUAGUUCAGAGCCUUGCCAGCUGGGAGCUGGGCUAUGUUUAGCAGAAACUGGCACACGAGUGAAAUGGGGUGGAGCCAAGUAGACACUUUGGAUCCGGUAGGCAUAGCUCUCCCACAGGAGACUGUUUAGGCCAUGCCUGGCAUCAGUAACUCAGGCUGUUUCCCACACUACAGGCCAGCACUGUGGGCUCUCAGUUUAUUGGGAAAUGGAAAUAAGAGGGAAGGACAAAAGUCCACUGGGAAGCAGACUGGACAGAAAGGAACUCUGAGCAGCUAAACUCUGACUAAUCCCAGGGUAUACCUGCGUUUUCUCUUCACCAGAGUUUCACUCUUGUUGCCCACGCUGGAGUACAAUGGUGUGAUCUCGGCUCACUGCAACCUCUGCCUCCCAAGUUCAAAUGAUUCUCCUGCCUCAGCCUCCCUAGUAGCUGGGAUUACAGGCACCCGCCACCAUGCCCAGCUAAUUUUUUGUAUUUUUAGUAGAGACGGGGUUUCACUAUGUUGACCAGGCUGGUCUCGAACUCCUGACCUCAGAUGAUCCACCCACCUCAGCCUCCCAAAGUGCUGGGAUUACAGGCAUGAGCCACUGCGCCCGGCUGAAAAUAGCCUUUCGAAACGUCCAACUUGAUUUGUUCAGCUUCCAUAUAUAACAUUUAACCUUCUGAUUUUAAUAUGGUUUCUUAAAUAGAUUUUUCCUACCAGGAAGAGCAUGUGCUGACCAACAGACAUGAAUUUCAGCCUGGUAGUUACAACAUUCACAGGAGUUUCACUCGUUGCCCAGGCUGGAGUGCAACGGCGCGAUCUCAGCUCACUGCAACCUCCGCCUCCCCAGUUCAAGCGAUUCUCCUGCCUCAGCCUCCUGAGUCACUGGAAUUACGGGCGCCUGACACCACGCCCAGCUAAUUUUUUGUAUUUUUAGUAGACAUGGGGUUUCACUAUGUUGGCCAGGCUGGUCUCGAACUCCUGACCUCAUGAUCCUCCUGCCUCAGCCUCCCAAAGCACUGGGAUUACAGGUGUGAGCCACUGUGCCUGGUCCAUUAAAAACAUUUGUAAAGCUAUGGUGUUGAUAAAGUAUUAUGAAAGACUGCAAAAAAAGAUGGCUAAUUUUUAGUUAUUAUUGCACAUGUUUAGAGGAGCUAAUGACAUUUUCUAUGAUUAAUAAAAGACAUUAUUUAUGUUUUUAUUUAUGUAUUCCACAACAUUUAUUUUAUUUUCUCCAUUUCAGGAAAACCACUAUGUUGUUACAAUAAAGAUUUUCAUGUAAUUUGUGUUCAAUUGAUAGUAAUAAUGUAACAAGUUAAAAAUGAAGGUAAUUGUGUUUAAAAUUUGAGCAUAUUUUCAUCAAAAUGUAAGUUAAAGUGAUUGUAAAUUUUAAGAUCAUAAUUACUUUGUAUAUCUUCAAG
rnacentral:lncRNA from 1 species